UAUUCUUUUGCUCAGGGUGAUACUCUUCAAAGGUGGCGAACAGAACCUUUUAUCAUGAUAACUGGUAGUGGAAGAUGGAUGCCACCGCCUCUGCCCACAGCAAAGAGCCCAGAGCAUGAAAAGGAGUCUGGUAGCACAUAUGCUGCUGGAAAAAGCAGGCGUGUUGACCCAGAACGAACCCUGACUGAUCCCCAGAGGGAUGAGUUUGAGGAUAUGUUACGUGCGUUAACGUUAGAAAGAAGUCAGAUAAAGGAUGCUAUGGGUUUUGCUUUGGAUAAUGCUGAUGCUGC
rnacentral:misc_RNA from 1 species